AUUCGGUUGACGAGUCGUAAAUAGGACGUAAUGCGCAUUCUGGAU
rfam:Schistosoma mattheei strain Denwood, Zambia genome assembly, scaffold: SMTD_scaffold0018637